ACCUUAAUGCGGCUCAUCAGUUUUUGAUGAACGGUCACAAGCCCGGCAACGCAGAGUGGGGA
rnacentral:ribozyme from 2 species